UCUGUGAAAAAAAAAUAAAAAAAAAAUGGAAUGAUACAGAGAAGAUUAGCAUGGCCUCUGCGCAAGGAUGACACGCAAAUUAGUGAAGCAUUCCAUAUUUUA